UUGCUGGCACGCGUUUUCCUUGUACAUCUGUCCAUCCGGGCAUUUUGGUGGAGGAGUGGUGGUGGGAGUGGUGGUGGCCACUGCCGUGGUCGUCGGCACUGUAGUCGGCCCUGCAGGCCCUGAAGU
rnacentral:SRP_RNA from 10 species